AGAGUUAAAAAGUACGUGAAAUUGUUAAAAGGGAAACGAUUGAGAUCAGUGUUGCCGGCUUCAAAUCAACCAAAUGUCCCAAAUGGCAUUGGCGGAGGGAUCGCAAGACCCUUACUAAUGUUUAUGAGGAGGCAUUUGGUGCACUUUGGUGUCGGCAGGUCAGCAUCAGUUUGGCUGGCCGGAAAAAACCGAAAGAAAGGCAGGUCUUCGGGCUGAGCCCCUUUCGGCUAUACGGUAGGCUAGACUGAGGAAUGCAGUGUGUGCUUUUGGCUGGGUGCCGUGUUGCAGAAGAAUGCUCGUAUGUAGACUGCUUGCAGACUGCGUGCGAUGCAUUAUUCUCUCGAUGCGAUACACCACAAACACAUUUUGGAUGCUGACGAAAUGGUCUUAAACGACC
rnacentral:ncRNA from 2 species